GCGACCCCAGGUCAGGCGGGACCACCCGCUGAGUUUAAGCAUAUCAAUAAGCGGAGGAAAAGAAACUUAC
rnacentral:rRNA from 1 species